UACGUAGGGUGCAAGCGUUGUCCGGAAUUAUUGGGCGUAAAGGGCUCGUAGGCGGUUUGUCGCGUCGGGAGUGAAAACUCAGGGCUUAACCCUGAGCCUGCUUCCGAUACGGGCAGACUAGAGGUAUGCAGAGGAGAAUGGAAUUCCUGGUGUAGCGGUGAAAUGCGCAGAUAUCAGGAGGAACACCGGUGGCGAAGGCGGUUCUCUGGGCAUUACCUGACGCUGAGGAGCGAAAGUGUGGGGAGCGAACAGG
rnacentral:rRNA from 1 species